UAAUCCCAACUCACAUGUAUAUAAACUAUUGUGAAUGAUAUGUGGAUGGCCCACAUGAAUGUUUUAUUACUAUUUAUGCAUAGUAUUUUCACUAUUCAUUUAUGGAAAAUUUGUAAAGUGAAUAGUAUUCUCUUUGCUUAUAAAAUGAAUGGGAGGUGAAGAAGGAUGAGAGAUACAAAUGAGGAUAGAAGCAGCACGGAAGAGGAAAAGAGAAGAGAGGAAGAUGAGAGUAGAUAAUAGAGAGAGUUACUUUUGUACUUCUAUUAUUCUAAUUUAUAAUGAAAGCACUACCACUGUCCCGAGGACGUACUCCAGUCACACUGACUGUAGAGGAACCUCGUAAAUUAUGUGUCUUGUUUUAUUUAUUCCACUGCACACACCGUCGAUUUUAUAACACGUUAUCAACACGAGAUGCUCUCAUGUCAGUGGAAAGCAUAACGCCAUAAAUUCGGAUAAACACAAGUCGAACUUGAGGAAUUAUGAGCAGUUUAGCUCUGAGAAUGAGCACCAAAAAAAUCACAUGGUAGAGAGGGCAAGCUAGACACUGCAAACAGGGAAGAUCAUCUUGUCCCAAAAAUCCAUCAACCUUUCUUUUAUCACUUUUUCUUUUUAUCACUCUAACUAUUGAUGUGCUGAUCUUUAUCCCUGCUAGACCUGUAAUCUCGUAUCUCUCUUGUGGACAAGAGAGAUGGAGAGAUCUUACAGACAAACAAAGGUACAGCAAAACAAGCAAAGAGAUCCAGAAGAAUCUCAUCAGACUUGGAAACCCAGAUCGCGUCGUUUUUUACGGAUCUCGAUAACUCCCAUGAAUACUUGGUUGUUUGAGAUGGUGAUGGCAAGAAUGACUCCACACAAGCCUCUCUCUCUUGUGCCUCCGUCAACCCCACUGUCAUCUAUGUCUUUGUAAGGAGGUUCUUGCUUUGCGAUGCCAUGUUCUCUGGACCAUGCAAGAACAACGCCAGUCUUUGGUAGCCUUUUUGGAUUGAAUUAGUUUUGUGUGACCUCCACAACAACCUAGCUGGUCCUAAGUUUCGAGAUUUGUAGAGACAGACAAAGAAAGAAAAGAGGGGAAGUUUAUGGAAUAUGUAUGGCACCAUCUAAAAAAGGCAAUAAUGCACGGCACCAUUUGAAAACGCAAGAAAUAAAAAAUUUAAAAAUUUAAAAAAUGAAAAUAGCAGAAUGAUGCAUCUGCACCAUUUGAAUGAAAAAUAAUAAUGGGGCCAAAGUUUUUGGAAUGUUGCAACAUGUAAAUGAAUAAGAAAAAUAUUAUUAUUAUUUUUCUUAUUCAUUCACAUGUUGCAACAUUUCAAAAACUUUGGCUCCAUUAUUAUUUUUCAUUCAAAUGGUGCUGAUGCAUCAUUCUGCUUUUUUCAUUUUAGAUGGUGUUACACCAUUUGAAAAGAAAGAAGAAAAUAUAUAUGUAUUUAUUUAUGUGAAUGGUCACAAGCUCUAUUUACUUUAAAGCAAUUUAUUUACCAUAGACGGUUUUAUUGCCUACUGCUUUAAGUUUUGAUUUAUGUGAAUGGUGCUGAAUUAAAGCCCUUGUCACAAGCUUUAUUUACUUGUAUACAAUUUAUUCACUAUGGCUGGAA